GUCCGACUUUCCCCCUGGGGGUUUGCAACGUUAGCGGCUGUGUGUUGUCUGUCGUGCUGGUGCCCUUGUGCUGUGAGUGGUGUACGUGAUGGUGUACCCUCAGUUGGCUAUGGGUUUUCCUGCUGUUGGUUAACCUGUGCCAUAAAACAGUAAAUUGUCUGGGGUGAUACCACUGUUCGGAGCUGGGGUCCCACGGGUGGAUGGAUCUGUCCGGUGGUGGUACUUCCUCCUCAGUGGGUGCUGUGUAACACUUGAAGUGUGUGGUUGUGUAAUCUGAGUGCACUGUGGUGUGUGUGUGUGCCUUUUUGUAAACACCAGUCGUGAUUAAGUGAUUCUUCUCGCUGGGAACCUCAGCCCUGCUGGUUAUUAUGUUUGUUUUGUUCUCAUUCACCUUAAUUUUGAGUGUGUGAUUGUGAUGCAUUUCCAAGUGGAGUGACUGUAUGUUUGGGAGUGCUCAUUUUAAAGGGGUUAUGUGUAAAUAAAAGUCUAUUUUUUUGUACUAUACCCACGUCUCUUGCUCACUCUUCCUUUUAAGAGGAACGAACUUGUGUGCCUUACUGCCCUUUUUGGGUGUAAUUAAUAUUUCCCUGGGUGUAAGUCCCAGGGUGGCGUAGUCGGAAUUUUAUGUAAGAUCUUUGCUUCCGUCA